CAGCAGCCGCGGGAAAACGUAGGGUGCAAGCGUUAAUCGGAAUUACUGGGCGUAAAGCGUGCGCAGGCGGUUUGUUAAGACAGAUGUGAAAUCCCCGGGCUCAACCUGGGAACUGCAUUUGUGACUGGCAAGCUAGAGUGUGGCAGAGGGGGGUGGAAUUCCGCGUGUAGCAGUGAAAUGCGUAGAUAUGCGGAGGAACACCGAUGGCGAAGGCAGCCCCCUGGGCCAACACUGACGCUCAUGCACGAAAGCGUGGGGAGCAAACAGGAUUAGAUACCCGCGUAGUCCCUGUCUCUUAUAC
rnacentral:rRNA from 1 species